rnacentral:rRNA from 1 species
UACAGAGGUCUCAAGCGUUGUUCGGAUUCAUUGGGCGUAAAGGGCGCGUAGGCGGCGGGGUAAGUCUGGUGUGAAAUCUCGGAGCUCAACUCCGAAAUUGCACUGGAUACUGCUCUGCUAGAGGGCUGGAGAGGAGAUCGGAAUUCACGGUGUAGCAGUGAAAUGCGUAGAUAUCGGGAGGAAUACCUAUGGCGAAAGCAGGCGACUGGACCGUCACUGACUCUGAUCUGCGAAAGCUAGGGGAGCAAACAGG